rnacentral:rRNA from 1 species
UACGGAGGAUCCUAGCGUUAUCCGGAUUUACUGGGUUUAAAGGGUGCGUAGGCGGGCGCUUAAGUCCGCGGUGAAAGUCUGCGGCUCAACCGUAGGAUUGCCGUGGAUACUGGGCGCCUUGGAUUCGGUCGGGGCGGGCGGAAUGCGUGGUGUAGCGGUGAAAUGCAUAGAUAUCACGCAGAACGCCGAUAGCGAAGGCAGCUCGCCGGGCCGAUAUCGACGCUGAUGCACGAAAGCGUGGGGAUCAAACAGGAUUAGAUACCCUGGUAGUCCACGCCGUAAACGAUGAUGGCUGGGUGUUGGCGAUACACCGUCAGCGCCUGAGGGAAACCAUUAAGCCAUCCACCUGGGGAGUACGGCCGCAAGGCUGAA